rnacentral:rRNA from 1 species
AUUGAACGCUGGCGGCAGGCUUACACAUGCAAGUCGAGCGGGGUGAUGGUGCUUGCACUAUCACUUAGCGGCGGACGGGUGAGUAAUGCUUAGGAAUCUGCCUAUUAGUGGGGGACAACAUCUCGAAAGGGAUGCUAAUACCGCACGCGUCCUACGGGAGAAAGCAGGGGAUCACUUGUGACCUUGCGCUAAUAGAUGAGCCUAAGUCGGAUUAGCUAGUUGGUGGGGUAAAGGCCUACCAAGGCGACGAUCUGUAGCGGGUCUGAGAGGAUGAUCCGCCACACUGGGACUGAGACACGGCCCAGACUCCUACGGGAGGCAGCAGUGGGGAAUAUUGGACAAUGGGGGGAACCCUGAUCCAGCCAUGCCGCGUGUGUGAAGAAGGCCUUAUGGUUGUAAAGCACUUUAAGCGAGGAGGAGGCUCUUUUGGUUAAUACCCAAGAUGAGUGGACGUUACUCGCAGAAUAAGCACCGGCUAACUCUGUGCCAGCCGCCGCGGUAA